rnacentral:rRNA from 1 species
UACAGAGGUCCCAAGCGUUGUUCGGAUUUACUGGGCGUAAAGGGUGCGUAGGCGGCCAAAAAAGUUUGAUGUGAAAUCUCGGUGCUCAACACCGAAACUGCAUUGGAUACUAGUUGGCUCGAGGAGUGGAGGGGAGACUGGAAUUCUCGGUGUAGCAGUGAAAUGCGUAGAUAUCGAGAGGAACACCAGUGGCGAAAGCGAGUCUCUAAACACUAACUGACGCUGAGGCACGAAAGCCAAGGGAGCAAACGGG